rnacentral:tRNA from 1 species
UAUUCUUAACACCAAUAAUAAUAACAGUGUACUAAAAGAUUGAAAAUCUAAUGUGCUAGUUACACCAUAAGAAC